UGCGUGUCAAAUACAAAUCUAAACUAUGCGAUUUCAUCUUUUAAAUGUUGGCAUUUUGUAGAUUUAUGGAAGUAAAGAGUCUGCAGCAAAGUUUGUAGAGGUUAAAUGAGGAAUUUUAUAAAAUGAGGUAUAAGCAGUAUAUUUAGAAAGGGUAUUUUCUAAGUGACACUGCUUGUUUUUGGUCUUAAUUAGAAUUAGAAUUUUUUAUGUGCUACAGAUUCUUCAUACUACAAGUCAGUGAUGUGGAACAUGUCAUACUACGAAUACAGAUACAAUGGAAAACGGAGCAAGUAUAAAUAAUGUUUCUUUGGAAGACAACGAAAUGAGUGUUGAUAAUUUUUCACCCAGAGUCAGCCAAAGUUCUAGUUUGAUAUUGAGUAAUACUUUUCAAACUGAGCGGAGUAACUUCCCACUGAGAGCAGAGAUACACAGUGGCAAUAAAUAUUCGAGAAUUAUAAUGGCUA